UUUGAUCCUGGCUCAGGGCGAACGCUGGCGGCACGCCUCAUACAUGCAAGUCGAGCGAUCGGAUGCUGGGUGCUUGCACCCGGCAUUACGGAGCGGCGAACGGGUGAGUAACACGUGGGCAACCUGCCCCGAGGACCGGGAUAACUUCGGGAAACUGGAGCUAAUACCGGAUGUCCUUUCUGGAUCGCAUGGUCCGGUAAGGAAAUGGUUCUUCCGCCUUAGGAGGGGCUCGCGGCCUAUCAGCUUGUUGGUGGGGUAACGGCCUACCAAGGCUAUGACGGGUAGCCGGCCUGAGAGGGUGUUCGGCCACACCGGGACUGAGACACGGCCCGGACUCCUACGGGAGGCAGCAGUAGGGGAUCUUGCACAAUGGGCGCAAGCCUGAUGCAGCGAUGCCGCGUGAGGGAUGAAGGCCUUCGGGUCGUAAACCUCUUUCAGUAGGGAAGAAGCCACGGGUCACCGUGGUGACGGUACCUGCAGAAGAAGCCCCGGCUAACUACGUGCCAGCAGCCGCGGUAAAACGUAGGGGGCGAGCGUUGCCCGGAUUCACUGGGCGUAAAGCGGGUGUAGGCGGUUCCUUAAGUCGGUUGUGAAAUCCCACGGCUCAACCGUGGAAUUGCGUCCGAUACUGGGGAACUUGAGGACGGUAGAGGUCGGUGGAAUUCCGAGUGUACCGGUGAAAUGGGCAGAUAUUCGGAGGAACACCAGUGGCGAAGGCGGCCGACUGGGCCGAUCCUGACGCUGAGACCCGAAAGCCAGGGUAGCGAACCGGAUUAGAUACCCGGGUAGUCCUGGCCGUAAACGGUGCGAACUAGGUGUGGGGGCUGUCAUGGCCUCCGUGCCGAAGCUAACGCAUUAAGUUCGCCGCCUGGGGAGUACGGCCGCAAGGCUAAAACUCAAAGGAAUUGACGGGGGCCCGCACAAGCGGCGGAGCGCGUUGCUUAAUUCGAUGCAAAGCGAAGAACCUUACCCAGGCAUGACAUCCUGGAUGUAGGCGCCGGAAAGGGUGGCCCACCCGUAAAAUCGGGAACCAGGACAGGUGUUGCAUGGCUGUCGUCAGCUCGUGCCGUGAGGUGUUGGGUUAAGUCCCGCAACGAGCGCAACCCCCAUCGCAUGUUGCCACCGGGUAAUGCCGAGCACUCAUGCGAGACUGCCGGGGAAACCCCGGAGGAAGGAGGGGAUGACGUCAGGUCCGCAUGGCCCUUAAGCCUGGGGCUGCAAACGCGCUACAAUGCGUGGUACAGCGGGUUGCAAAGCCGCAAGGUGGAGCCAAUCCCGAAAAGCCACGCCCAGUUCGGAUCGGGGUCUGCAACCCGACCCCGUGAAGUUGGGGUCGCUAGUAAUGGCAGAUCAGCAUGCUGCCGUGAAUACGUUCUCGGGCCUUGUACACACCGCCCGUCACACCCCGAAAGCGGGGAACAGAUGAAGCCGGUGGCCCAACCGUAAGGGGGGAGCCGUCGAGUCUGGGCUUCGUGAUUGGGGUGAAGUCGUAACAAGGUAGCCGUACCGGAAGGUGCGGCUGGAUCACCUCCUUUC
rnacentral:rRNA from 1 species